ensembl:lncRNA
GUGGGCGUGUACGUAAGCCGGUCCGUCAUCACUCAGUGUGUUUUAUGAUGUCCAGCUUUCAUUUAACAGCUAGCGACGUUGCGUAGAAGAUAAACAGAAAGUGUUCACUAUAAACCAUUAUCCAGGUAAGGAAGGCAAACAUUCUGCAACCUACUUAAACCAAUGGGACCAAGUAGGAAUCUGUACUGCAAAGCAAUUUAUUUUUCUUUUCCCCAAAAGACUGAUUCAUUUUUCUUAAACUAAAGCACUGGUGUUUGAGUUGAAAGAUCCCUGCUUAAGCAUAUAAGCAUAUUAUAGCAAUAAAUAUGCAUCAUGCAUUCAAUUCAGACCUAUCGUUAUGUAGUCACAUUUGCUUCUGACCACGUCUGCAUGUUUGAAUAAUCCAGCUAUAAAGAAAUUUGGACCUGGCUUUAAUUUAAUGUGAUUGGAUCACCUGAGACAGAUGUCAGUUCCAGGUGUGAAUGAGAUAAGUUUCUGACCAUAGGAAAUUAAAUUCAGUUCACUUCCCCGUUAAAGGGGUCAUUGGGUGCGACAUGCACUUAUACAAGGUGUUAGAACUGAAAUAUGUGUUGGCAGUGUGUGUACACAACCACCCUAUAAUGAUAAAAAUCCACCUAGUGUUUUUUUUUUUUAAUCUUGAUAAAUUAUUUCCCCUUUCUCAAAUCGAGCUGAUCUUAGAUGCCUGUCUGUGUGACAUCAAAUCAUUUGUGAUCCAGCUUCACCUCCAGAAGAAGUGAGUGUAAGGUUUUUUAAUGAAUCUUUGCAAAUCGCCUUUCCUAAUAAUGUGCUAGUUGGCGAGUUUCACUAUGAAUGCGGCUAAAGUUUACUGUCUCUCAGAGAGCGGCUCGGAAGAGAGGGGUGGGGUCAGCAGAUCUCAUUUGCAUUUAAAGUGCCAUGCAGUAAAACCGCGUGCUGUAGACAGAGCUGUUUUUGACUAGGUAAAAACGUUGUUGUUUUACACUACCAUUGAGAAAUUUUAACCAAACUAGGUUACAAACUUUUCAUUAAGACCCUAAAGAAUCAUAUCAGCUUGUGGAAAUUGGGCAUCCGAUUACCCCUUUAAAGGACGAGUAAAGCCUCAUCAUUUAAAAUGUGGGACAAGUUGCACCCCAAAGUUUAGUACUAGUUUAGUAGCAGUUGUUCAUAUUGAACUUUAAGCUUGAGCAGUAGUAAUGAUGAUGUUUACCUUAGCAAAACCACUAACAAGUUUAAAAUUAGUAUUAGUAAUUGAUCAGCCUGA